AGCGCAGACGGUUAUUUAAGCAAGAUGUGAAAGCCCCGGGCUCAACCUGGGAACUGCGUUUUGAACUGGGUAACUAGAGUGUGUCAGAGGGGGUAGAAUUCCACGUGUAGCAGUGAAAUGCGUAGAGAUGCGGAGGAAUACCGAUGGCGAAGGCAGCCCCCUGGGAUAACACUGACGUUCAUGCUCGAAAGCGUGGGUAGCAAACA
rnacentral:rRNA from 1 species